UUCCACAUUCCUGGCCAGUAGUACAUUCUGAUGAUUCUUUCCAUCGUUUUAUCAGUUCCGAAAUGUCCUGCAGUUACCAUGUCAUGAUUUUCUUGCAUUAUAUCAUUCCAUGCUGCUUUUGGAACAUAAAUCAAUCCAUUGUGGUAGACUAUUCCAUUGUCCUUGAUCAUGUUUCUAGCCUGUUUGUUGCUUGCUGUGGCUUUCCUGAUCUUUUGUAUAUUCUCAUUAUCCACUGAUAGAAUCUUUGUAGCCUGUAUUGCUUGUCGAUUAAAUGCUAUUCCAUCUUCUGCAUCCUUGGUGAAUAUCGCAUGUUUCUGACUUUCCUUUGUCAUUAAGUCUGGUCUUCAGCUUAGUGUAUCUGCCCAGACAUUUUCUUUUCCUUUGCAGUGUCAAAUCUUGAAGUCAUAAGCUGCUAGAGUCUCUGACCAUCUUGCUUGUCUUCUCAUUAAUUCCUUCAU
rnacentral:sRNA from 1 species